GUUAGAAGGCUAUAUAGGUCAUGAUAAGAUGAAACUUGUCGAAACACAUUUCAAGAAAAGGAUAGCAAUAUAAUGAUGAGUUGUAAUAUGCCAUCUAUUGAUCAAACCAAUGAAGCUGUGGAGCUUUCAUUUUUUUUUCUAUGGAUAUUUAAUUUUCCAGUCGUUUAAGCUUAAUCUGUGGCGCUUGGGUGGUGUUCUUUCUCACCAAUACAUCGACACACAAUUUGACGGUUUGCUCCAAGAUCUAUUAAGGAGAACAGGUCGAUGCAAAGCCCGUUGCUAGGUUGCCAUUUUCAGCUCGCUUUUGACAGUUUCAUGAAAAAUUGUUUACAAAAAAACGGCUUAUAGUUAACGAGGAAAAGUGGACGAAUUUACUAUUAGGAAGAUUCUAUUGGUUAAAUUUCUUGCGGUCAAUCACUUCUGGAGAAUAAAGGAGAAGUAAUUGCAGUCUACUAUGUAUUCAGAUAACCUCAUUGUUUGCCAUUCCGUGACCACGAAUCACUACCUUUUGCAACGGUCCUACUGGAAGAACGAAAAGCUUAACAGGCAUAAAACAGCACUUUACAUGUUCCAACUGGGUAACAGAAGUCCUAUUUACUUUCAUUUAAACACUGAGAGUUAAAUGAAACAUCGAAUCGGCACACACAAGUACAAUAUGCAUACCGUCUUCUGCUUAUAACCCGGCGACGAAUGAUAAAGGGGAUCCUUGGAUUGUAUCAGCCAUGUAAUAUUCUAAUUGGAUUCUAAUUAUUAUAAUAUUCUAACAGGAAAUGAGUGCAAAAUGCUGAACAAAACUCUUAUUCACUCCAUAGCAACGUCCAUCGCUAAACAUAAACAAUGUUCAAUUUAAGUGUCAAAAUUUUCCCAUGGCUUUCUGUCAAUUUACUCUAAUCGCAUACUCAAACCUGUUCUCUUUCUGUUGGGAUCACCCUGUGUCGCGAUUGCCGAUCGGUUGACGGAUAAGCCGAUCACUCCCGAUGAUACGCGCUAUCAGCGAGAGAGUGACAAGUUUCGGCCUCUUCGCUCCCGACCGGCCCGUACGACGGACAUAAUAAAUCCAUACCAUUUUAAAAGUACAAAA